UACAGAGGUCCCGAGCGUUGUUCGGAUUCACUGGGCGUAAAGUGUGCGCAGGCGGCCGCGCAAGUCGAGUGUGAAAUCCCCGAGCUUAACUUGGGAAUUGCGCUCGAAACUACGUGGCUGGAGUGUGGCAGAGGAAGGUGGAAUUCCACGUGUAGCGGUGAAAUGCGUAGAGAUGUGGAGGAACACCGAUGGCGAAGGCAGCCUUCUGGGCCAACACUGACGCUCAUGCACGAAAGCGUGGGGAGCAAACAGG
rnacentral:rRNA from 1 species